GACGAACGCUGGCGGCGUGCUUAACACAUGCAAGUCGAACGGAAAGGCCCUGCUUUUGUGGGGUGCUCGAGUGGCGAACGGGUGAGUAACACGUGAGUAACCUGCCCUUGACUUUGGGAUAACUUCAGGAAACUGGGGCUAAUACCGGAUAGGAGCUCCUGCUGCAUGGUGGGGGUUGGAAAGUUUCGGCGGUUGGGGAUGGACUCGCGGCUUAUCAGCUUGUUGGUGGGGUAGUGGCUUACCAAGGCUUUGACGGGUAGCCGGCCUGAGAGGGUGACCGGCCACAUUGGGACUGAGAUACGGACCAGACUCCUACGGGAGGCAGCAGGGGGGAAUAUUGCACAAUGGGCGGAAGCCUGAUGCAGCAACGCCGCGUGCGGGAUGACGGCCUUCGGGUUGUAAACCGCUUCCGCCUGUGACGAAGCGUGAGUGACGGUAAUGGGUAAAGAAGCACCGGCUAACUACGUG
rnacentral:rRNA from 1 species